rnacentral:rRNA from 1 species
GACGAACGCUGGCGGCGUGCUUAACACAUGCAAGUCGAACGAAGUGGCGAACGGGUGAGUAACGCGUAAUCAACCUGCCCUUCAGAGGGGGACAACAGUUGGAAACGAAUGCUAAUACCGCAUACUGAUGGAGGGGAAUGCGACUGAUUAGCUAGUUGGAGGGGUAACGGCCCACCAAGGCGAUGAUCAGUAGCCGGUCUUGGAAGAAGAACGGCCACAUUGGGAAUGGUACACGGCCCAGACUCCUACGGGGGGCAACAGUGGGGAAUCUUCCGAAAUGGACGAAAGUCUGACGGAACAACGCCGCGUGAGUGAUGACGGCCUUCGGGUUGUAAAGCUCUGUUAAUCGGGACGCGGUACCGGAAUAGAAAGCAACGGCUAACUACGUGCCAGCAGCCGCGGUAAUAC